rnacentral:rRNA from 1 species
GAUGAACGCUAGCUACAGGCUUAACACAUGCAAGUCGAGGGGAAACGAUAGAGAAAGCUUGCUUUUGAUGGGCGUCGACCGGCGCACGGGUGAGUAACGCGUAUCCAACCUGCCCACCACUUGGGGAUAACCUUGCGAAAGUAAGACUAAUACCCAAUGAUAUCUCUAGAAGACAUCUGAAAGAGAUUAAAGAUUUAUCGGUGAUGGAUGGGGAUGCGUCUGAUUAGCUUGUUGGCGGGGUAACGGCCCACCAAGGCGACGAUCAGUAGGGGUUCUGAGAGGAAGGUCCCCCACAUUGGAACUGAGACACGGUCCAAACUCCUACGGGAGGCAGCAGUGAGGAAUAUUGGUCAAUGGGCGAGAGCCUGAACCAGCCAAGUAGCGUGCAGGAUGACGGCCCUAUGGGUUGUAAACUGCUUUUAUAAGGGAAUAAAGUGAGCCUCGUGAGGCUUUUUGCAUGUACCUUAUGAAUAAGGACCGGCUAAUUCCGUGCCAGCAGCCGCAGUAA